rnacentral:lncRNA from 1 species
CUCGGCCUCCCAAAGUGCUAGGAUAACAGGUGUGAGCCAUGUGAGCCACUGCGCCCAGCCACAAGAUGCCUCUUUAUGAGAGGAUCCAGUCUACCUUUCCAGCUGUUUUUUCCCACUCCUAUCAUUUCCCUUCUCCUAGCAAAACUCUGUAUUGGCCUACACAUGCCAAUGUGUUGAGCAUGCCAUGCGUUCUUGUGCCCUGCAUCUUUGCUUUUGCCAUUCCUUGUGCUAUUGUUUUUCCACUUUCUUCCUGCAAAACUCCUAUUCAUCCUCUAAGACCUGGCUGUGAUGUCCUGGCUCUUGAACGGUUCUACCUCUCACUCACUCACACAGGGAGGUCAGCUGCUUCUUUCUCUGAGCCGCCUUACCCUCUGGGACACGCCUCCAGCACAGAUUUCCGCGUAGCCUACCUUCACUCAUCUAGAUACAUCAUCUUCCCUGGCAGAUGGAGUGCUUCUGAAAGGCAGAGACUUAGCUUUGAAUUCCCAGUGCCUAGCAUGGAGCCUGGUCCAUAAAAACCACUCCAUCCAUGUUCAUGAAAUGACUGAGAAACAGCAAGGGCUCCUGUGCACUUGGGUGUGGCUCCAGAAGAGGCAGCUUCUGUGGCUAUUCCCCUUGGAGGCCGGCUGGCCACUCUCCCUGCACAGAGCAGGCUGGCUUCGCCAUCACAGGCUGCUUCUCAGAAGCUCAGCUACCUCUCCUUCCUCACCUCCCAGACCCCUCGGAAAGUGUUCCCCACCAGAAAUGUCUUUUUGGUGGCCUCAACCUGAGAAGGAAGGCUACAGAGCUUACAGAUUUAAACUUAAAUGCAUAAACAAUUCACAGUGGUCCCCUGGCUUAGGCUGAAUCUCAACUUGGAGGACUUGGUGUCCAUGGUAAGUCUGGAGGCCUGAAGGUGGGAGGCGCUCAGCUGUCUGCAGCAGCUGUACCCUGCACCCUGCCCAGCAGGCAUUUCCCUGCUACAUGGCUCUCCUCCCAGCUCCCUCGGGGGGGUCUGGCCCUCCCACCCUGGGUGAGCUGCAUUUUUGUGGUCCUCCUUCUUCUAAUCUCUCUGCCUGCCUCACAAAGUGGAGAAUUCGAUUUUCUUCCCAAAGAAAAUCAGAUUUGACUUAGCUCCAUCCAUUUUCACAAUUGCUACGGAAACGCUGUCUCUGUGAGGACAAAAGAACUAAACGAAGGACUUUCAGUGGGGGAAUGAGCACGUGGACACAACUGUGCCUCAGUGAGAAUCCCUUGCAGACCUGGGAGAGACAUCUGCAGGCAGUGGGAUGCGGAUCAGAAGCCCUGGGUCCCCAGAGUCCAAUGAUGAGGAGACCCGGAGGGAAGGAAUUGGCUUGAAGUAGGGCUGUCUCGGGGGUGAGCAUUUCUCCCGCAGCCCCACACCCAGCAGCUCUGAGAGAAGCCAGAGCCUCCUGAUGCACCUGGCAUGACACUGGGACAAAGGCAAUCCAUUAUGUGACUGGUAUAUCAGAGUCACAGAGGGGCUGGGUGCAGCAGGGUAAAGAGGCUGCAAGGUCACAGAUGGACAAGGUGUGGCUGUCACAGCUGUGGUGGCUGGCCCCAUGAAAUAAUUGGGACACCAGGAGGGGCAGGGUCAGAGGACCUCUAAAUAGCUCUGUAGUCUUGGCCUCAGGGAGUGAUUACCUGCAAUAUGCCAGGGUACUGUCCCUGUAAACAAUGAGGCUGGAAGGCAAGAAAGGAGCAGCUCCCUGGCAUUUUGCUGCUGGAGCACGGAAGCAGUGCUGGCCAGGAGCUCACAGGUGGGUGUGAACCUGGGGACCCUCCGUAGAUACUCAUGGGGCCCCGGGCACUCCACUGGACAGGUGAAAAGCUCACAGCUCAGGGUCCCCUGCUAUUUUAUGAGCUUGGGAGGUUUCUGUGUCCAGAAGCACAAUGGAGGGAGCCCCUGAUCAUAAUCACUAAGAGCACACCAUGUUUGCUGCUUUUAACUGUUUCCAAAUCCUUCUAGUUCAUAGGCUCCUCUGCUCCUAAACCAGUCCUUUGAGGUAUCUGGCAGACAGUUUUCUGCCCUUCCCUUCCUUGACAUUUCUGUGACAUUUGGCUCUGUGACGGCUUCCUUCUUCAGGAAACUCUUUUGUUGUCUUAUUUCUGGGACACCCUCCUCCGGAGUUUCCAUUCCCUCUCAGUCCCCGUCCUGACUCUCAUUCCUGUCCCCAGCCACUUAAAUGUUGAUGUCCCUAGGUUCUAUCCCCAGCCGUCUUCUCAUUCAGAAUUCCCCUCCUCAAAGUAGAUUCAUCACUCCCAGAGACAUUUACAUCACGUCUCCACUUAGCCCUUGGCCCUGGCUCUCAGCCCCGCAGAACCCACUGCCGACUAGCCCCAUCCACAUGGGGGCCCACAGGCCCCUUGAGUGUGACACGUCCAAAUGAGUUACUCACCUUCUCCUCCCUCUUCUCAUCAUCUCUGCACCAUCAACAUCCCCUAAUUGUCCACCAGAAAUCAGGGAACAAUCCUGGCCUCCACCCUCUCCUCACCCUAUACGUCUGGUCAAUCAUGCCUUCCUCUCAACCUGACUCCUACAGGUAUCUUCAACCUGUGCCCAUUCUCGCAGCUCUGAGCUUAUUCCAUACUACAUAAGUUUGCUUAGACUGGUGGUUCUCCACCAUGGGUGAUUUUUGUCUUCCCCACCUAGGGGACAUUUGGCAACGUCCAGGGACAAUUUCUGAUGGUCACAACGAAGUGGUUGCUACUAGCAUCAAGUGGGUAGAGGCCAGGGAUGGAGCUGAACACGAUACAAUGCACCAGGCGGCCCCUGCAACCAAGAACCAAAAUGGCGGUAGUCCCCAGACCCAAUGCCUAGCGCCAUGUCUGGUGAGUGAAUGCACACAGGAAGAAAGCUUUGCCAAAAUUUGCACACCUCGUUGCUGGAAGGACUAGGACUGGCAUUCAGGUCUUUGGACUCCCAAGCUAUGCUCACCUCAUCAGACCUGAUGGCUCUAAGUAGGUCAGUUUUAGGUCCUGAGCUACUUGAUCCAUCUGGCUCCCAGUUAGAGAACAACAAGAAACUAAUCACAUGUGGUGGCUGCUGCCUCCGUAAGUGCUUCCAUUUAUUCACAAGCUGAAAGACAAAAGCUUGGCCCCCCAGCAUAUGCUGGAUCAAAAGCAAGGAACAAAAAGGAUUGUAAAAGAAAGACGCUGGAAAUAGUAGCUACUUUGAUGCAGGCAGCUCUUUGAGGAAGCAGCUGAGGACUGUGCCCCCAGCAGCAAAGAGAGAGAGAAGUCACUGCCAGAGGGUGAAGGAAAUCACUGCAGGAAGGGUGGGACCUCACUGGCUUCUCUGCUGGUUUCCAGCGAGUGCCAGGAAUGGGGGAGGGGUGUCUCAUUAAUCUCACCUCCUUGCUGCCCUGCCUGGGGUCUUUACAAUCUGCUCCAUUUGGAGACUAAGGAUUCCUACAGGAAUGGCAAUCUGAGCCAGAGAUUUAGGAAGGAGGUUUAUAAGUAAUGGCUAGAGCGAUAGAGUAAUUAAUAGGAAACUAUUAUUAACAAUACAGUGAUUUCAUAAUGAUUCCGCAGUUUAUAAUACAAAUGUAUACAUCAUUUGAUGAAUUAUUGUAUUGAGCCCGAGGAUGCAGGAAUGGCCAGAUUCUGUCCUUGAAAUAGCCACCCCUUCUCAUGAGGACCCCUGAGAAAAUAUAGUAAGCACACAAAGAAAGGAAAGCAAAGCAAUGCUUCAUUGUUAGCUGGACUUGUGAUCAAAACCCUAGCGCUCUCUGGUCAACUGGACUAGAUGACGUUUUCUACUAAGCAAGUUAGGACUAAACAGCUCAUAACAACAGCCAAUCCAAUAUACCUGCUUGUCUCGGGAAAGUGUAGUCAGCUGCAGAGAGACAGUGAGAGAGUGACUGUUUCCUUUGAAUUCCUGCUCUCUGGAGUUGACUUGGGCAGCCUGGCUCUGAACCAGGACACCAUCUCUGGGUUGGUGGCCAUCUGAGAAAACAUGGAGAAAAGACACUUUGAGGAAGGUAACCUCGUAAUGCUGAGAGGAAGCUUAUGCCCAAGGAGACUCCAAGGAGAAUUUGGGAUCUAACCCCAGAGCACUGCAGAGUGGAAAAGGCCAGGGGGAACCCCUUAUCUUACCAGAAAACCAAGCAAAGGAGAUAGCAAGAGGCUGGACUGAAGUUAAAGAAUAAUGCUUAAGUGUCUUGUUUGGGACUCAAAGGGCUUGCCCUCCCAUUGUAUUCACAGAUACAGCAAAAGACUUUGGUGAAAUGCAAUGUGGAAGGAGGAAGAUUGGUUCCCAUUGUGAAUAAGGAAAAAAUGAGUCCUGGGGUUCUGAAGGCAGCUUGAGAUAUUUUGAGCAUUUCACCUCUGAAGUAAGAGUGCAACCCUCCAAUUCAAAAGUGUAAUUUCUAGUCCCUUUGUUGAAAAGUCAGUUAUGAAACUUUACAGUUUCACUUUUGGCUUUCGGCUGAACUUUUCAGAGCCUUUAAGGCAAGGUGGGUAAGUAUUUUUAGAGAUGGUAACGAGGCCUGGGGGCUAUGCACACAGCUGGAGCUCAGCAGAUGUCUCAGAGGAGAAAGAUGAGAACCUCAGUCAUGGUCAAGACCCCUCUCCGAAUGGCUUCUCAUCCCUCAGACCCACAAGAGAGGUGCAUCGUAAGCUCAAGACACCUGAGACACCUUAAUUCUCUUCCCCAGCCCUCUCUCUGUCCCUUGAAAGGAUGCAAUGCGCUGGGGAGAUGAAACCAGUUUGCAUCUUAGGAAGGAUCUGGAUUGUUUUCCUUCUUUCUCUGAGCUGUCACUUGCUAUAAAAGCGAUCAUUGAUAUUCAGCCAUUAUGCCAUUAUACUUCCAUAAUCAUUAAUAUUCUUAAAAGGCUCUUGAAACACAUUUAUACAAGGCUACAUGAUCAGUUCCUACAUUUACUUUCAAUUUAAAUAACAGUUUUAGCCAGGGUUUUGAUGUGCUGUUUACUUUAAUUACCAUCCUGCCCCUUUCUGUGUCUUGACACAGUGUCAUUUAAUAUUUUAUGAAUUUCCCUUAGCCCUUUUUUUCCCUGAUAUGUGUGAUUUGAACGGGUUGCUGCUUUUUUAGAAAAAAAUUUGUAGUUUUAACUUUUCUGAGACUUGCUGUAAACAAGAUGUGUCAUGCCUAUGGAUUCUCUUCCCCCAGUGAUAAUGGGAGGAAAUAAAUAAAACAGCAGACAGCUGCUUUACCCAGAUGGCACAGGGAUGCCAGGGGGUUCUGGCCCUGCUGCAGGCACAGAGUGACAGGCCAGCAACUUCAGGUGAGGUGGGAAGCAGCCCAGAAGAGGUCAGCGUCUGCCUCUCAAGGUGUGGGCUGUCAGCAUGAGGAUCACCUGGGAGCCCCACUCCAGAACUACUGAGGCAGAAGCUGCAUUAGAACAAGAUCCCUAGGUGGUUUGUUUGAACACUGGAGUUUGGGAAGCACUGCACUAAUGGAAAUCAAUUAGUGGAUGUAAAGAAAAUAGGCAUUUCACGGCUGUUCUCUCCCAAGUCCCAUGCUUUCAUCAGAAAAAAAGCUCUACUUUUGGGAUCUAUGGCAGGUUCUUGGGGUCAUUUAUAAAUAAGUGCUAUACUUUAAAUACUGUGUUCAUGAUCUGCUUCAAGAUUUCCCCCUCUGUUUUUUCAGUGAUCCAUUUGUUUACUUAAGAAAUAUUUGGCCAGGCGCGGUGGCUCAUGCAUGUAAUCCCAGCACUUUGCGUGGCU